rnacentral:rRNA from 1 species
UGGGGAAUUUUGGACAAUGGGCGCAAGCCUGAUCCAGCCAUGCCGCGUGAGUGAAGAAGGCCUUCGGGUUGUAAAGCUCUUUCGGUUGGGAAGAAAUUGCCUGGGUUAAUACCUCAGGUAGAUGACGGUACCAGCAUAAGAAGCACCGGCUAACUACGUGCCAGCAGCCGCGGUAAUACGUAGGGUGCGGGCGUUAAUCGGAAUUACUGGGCGUAAAGCGUGCGCAGGCGGUUGUGUAAGUCAGAUGUGAAAUCCCCGGGCUCAACCUGGGAACUGCAUUUGAGACUGCACGGCUAGAGUGUGGCAGAGGGGGGUAGAAUUCCACGUGUAGCAGUGAAAUGCGUAGAGAUGUGGAGGAAUACCGAUGGCGAAGGCAGCCCCCUGGGCCAAUACUGACGCUCAUGCACGAAAGCGUGGGGAGCAAACA